GACGAACGCUGGCGGCGUGCUUAACACAUGCAAGUCGUACGGUAAGGCCCUUUCGGGGGUCCACGAGUGGCGAACGGGUGAGUAACACGUGAGUAACCUGCCCACAACUUUGGGAUAACGCUAGGAAACUGGUGCUAAUACUGGAUAUGUGCUCCUGCUGCAUGGUGGGGGUUGGAAAGCUCCGGCGGUUGUGGAUGGACUCGCGGCCUAUCAGCUUGUUGGUGGGGUAGUGGCCUACCAAGGCGGCGAUGGGUAGCCGGCCUGAGAGGGUGACCGGCCACAUUGGGACUGAGAUACGGCCCAGACUCCUACGGGAGGCAGCAGUGGGGAAUAUUGCACAAUGGGCGCAAGCCUGAUGCAGCAACGCCGCGUGCGGGAUGACGGCCUUCGGGUUGUAAACCGCUUUCAGCAGGGACGAAGCUUUUUGUGACGGUACCUGCAGAAGAAGCACCGGCUAACUACGUG
rnacentral:rRNA from 1 species